ACCAGUUCCCAGGCGGUGUCCCUGGCCAAAGAUUUCCUCCUGAGCCGGGCAGAGGAGAAGCAGCAGCAGGUGAGACAGUUUCAUCCUGGUAACACCCAGAUAUCCGCGGUGGCUGGUGAAUUCUGAGUGUGGUGUCUCUUAAAAGGCGAAAGUGGCUCUUGGGUGCAGAAGGUUCUGGGUUCGAUCUCCAGGAGGGCCUGGGAAAUCGUCCCUGCCUGAAACCUGGAGGGGGGGGUGGAAUUGCAUUUGCACAUGUGGCAACACAUGGUAAACUUAAAGCCUCUACUGUUAGAAAAUUAUUCCACUUGUGAUGCAUAUCUACAAGCAGUGCAAUGUCCGCAUUUGAAAAAACCACCUGGAGCUGUGGUCAAGGUCUGGUGUGUAGAGGUGUGUGGUAAGUCAGUAUGUACUAGCAUAUCUCUAAGUGAUCUGGUGCGUCAUUUAUCAAAGCAGGAAAAGACCUCACAGCCUGGAAUAUUCAAUCUCACUGGGCAAAAGACAUAUACCACUUGAAUCAUGGGAAAAGAUUUUAAAAUUCGCAGCAUGCAGUUCAUUAAAAGAAAAUUCUAUGAAGAUGAUGUACCGAUGCUAUUUCACUCCAGUAAGCUUACUAAAAUGUAUAAAGAUACCUCUAAUUUAUGCUGGAAAUGUAAGGAUAUGGAAAGUCCUUUUUUUCUUUUUCAUAUGUCGUGGACAUGUAAAAAAGUAAAGGGCUUCUGGGAAAUUAUAAAAAAUGAACUUAAAAAAAUGUUUAAAAUUACGUUUGUUAAAAAAUCAGAGGCCUUUCUUAUUAGGUGUAAUAGGAGAAAAUAUGCCAAGGAAGCAAAAGAGACUGUUCAUUUAUGCGACUACAGCGGCCAGAUGCUACUAUCCCAGAUGUGGAAAGAAGAAAAGGUCCCAAGGAAAGAAGAAUGGAUAACUAAGAUGAGUGACUAUGUCGAAACGGCUAAACUAACCCUGAAGAUCAGGCACCAAGAUGAGAAAAAAAUCAAUCAAGAAUGGGAAAACUCAAUAGACACGUUUAAAUAACACUGUAAAAGAGGCAAAACAUUAGCAGGUUUGGUGUAACAUUUAUGAACUAAGAAUAGAAUUGGGGGGG